rnacentral:rRNA from 1 species
GACGAACGCUGGCGGCGUGCUUAAUACAUGCAAGUCGAACGGAAAGGCCCUGCGUUUGUGGGGUGCUCGAGUGGCGAACGGGUGAGUAACACGUGAGUAACCUGCCCUUGACUUGGGGAUAACUUCAGGAAACGGGGGCUAAUACCGGAUAGGAGCUCCUGCAGCAUGGUGGGGGUGGGAAAGUUUCGGCGGUUGGGGAUGGACUCGCGGCUUAUCAGCCUGUUGGUGGGGUAGUGGCUUACCAAGGCUGUGAAGGGUAGCCGGCCUGAGAGGGUGACCUGCCACAUUGGGACUGAGAUACGGCCCAGACUCCUACGGGAGGCAGCAGUGGGGAAUAUUGCACAAUGGGCGGAAGCCUGAUGCAGCAACGCCGCGUGCGGGAUGACGGCCUUCGGGUUGUAAACCGCUUUCGCCUGUGACGAAGCGUGAGUGACGGUAAUGGGUAAAGAAGCACCGGCUAACUACGUG